UAUGUCAGCUCCAGGGUACUGCCGGAACGUCCUGUACUAUCUAAAAUGCCGGACCGCAUCUCGCCUACUCCACUAACGAGUCUAGGGAGUCGCCUACGCCUACUCCC